GUUAGCGAUUUCUGUAAAUUACACAGUAUUUAACUGUAAUAUGAACUGUACUUUACUGUAAAACAGUUACACAGUAUGUUACUGUAUUUUAAAAUUGCAUUAUGGGAAAUAUCCUCUUGGCGCCAUUAAAAUACAGUAUUUUUCAUUUACUGUAAAUCCAAAUACAGUAAAAAAAAAUGAGCGGGAAACCUGACCAAUGACAGAAAGGCUUUUUUUUCUGGUUGGAGAAAGAAGAAAAGGAAGACGCACACACCUCGCACCUGCAAAUAACGUUUCACCAUCAAAGUGCGAACAUAAACAGGUCUCUGUCUUCGUUUUGGCCACGUCGGUAGCAGGUCACAACAACUCUGGCAGAUGCAAAGACCAGGCUUUGACUUCUUUCUACUCCAAGGCUGAUCAUGCUUGGAGAUUCAAUUCUACACAGCAAAAAAAUGGAUGCUGGCGAUCGAAGGCAAAGUCUUCUUUCCUGUGAUUGACCUAUCAGAUAUAUCCUCUGCAUUUGCUGUUCUCUUCGGUUGCUAUUAUGUGCAAAACAUCAAGUACCAAGUGGAAGCAGCCACUACUUUGGAGUUUAU